rnacentral:rRNA from 1 species
CCUACGGGAGGCAGCAGUGAGGAAUAUUGGUCAAUGGGCGCGAGCCUGAACCAGCCAAGUCGCGUGAGGGAAGACGGUCCUAUGGAUUGUAAACCUCUUUUGUCGGGGAGCAAAAGACGCCACGCGUGGCGUUUCGAGAGUACCCGAAGAAAAAGCAUCGGCUAACUCCGUGCCAGCAGCCGCGGUAAUACGGAGGAUGCGAGCGUUAUCCGGAUUUAUUGGGUUUAAAGGGUGCGCAGGCGGAAGAAUAAGACAGCGAUAAAAUUGAGAGGCUCAACCUGUUCGAGCCGUUGAAACUGGUUUUCUUGAGUGAGCGAAAAGUAUGCGGAAUGCGUGGUGUAGCGGUGAAAUGCAUAGAUAUCACGCAGAACUCCGAUUGCGAAGGCAGCAUACCGGCGCUCAACUGACGCUGAUGCACGAAGGUGUGGGUAUCGAACAGGAUUAGAUACCCGAGUAGUC